GAUGAACGCUGGCGGCGUGCCUAACACAUGCAAGUCGAACGGUAGCAGGGGUGCUUGCUCCUGGGGGUGAGUGGCGAACGGGUGAGUAAUACAUAGGGAAAUGGCCUGUAGGGGGGGAUAGACCGGCGGAAGCGGGAGUUAAUACGCCAUAGAUGUAGGUGUGGCAGGGGAGGUGCUUCGAGGGUGGAGUUGUAGGGUUACGAGAUGGAUGAUUAGCUAGUUGGUGGGGUGACGGCGUACCAAGGCGACGAGCAGUAGCUGGGCUGAGAGGAUGACCGGCCACACUGGGACUGAGACACGGCCCAGACUCCUACGGGAGGCAGCAGUAGGGAAUUUUGGACAAUGGGCGAAAGCCUGAUCCAGCAAUGCCGCGUGUGUGAAGAAGGCCUUCGGGUUGUAAAGCUCUUUUGUCCGGAAAGAAAUACUUGGCCCUAAUACAGUCGGAACAUGACCGUACCAUAACAAUAAGCUCCGGCUAACUACGUG
rnacentral:rRNA from 1 species